GACGAACGCUGGCGGCGCGCCUAACACAUGCAAGUCGAACGAGCGAGAGAGAGCUUGCUUUCUCGAGCGAGUGGCGAACGGGUGAGUAACGCGUGAGGAACCUGCCUCAAAGAGGGGGACAACAGUUGGAAACGACUGCUAAUACCGCAUAAGCCCACGGCUCGGCAUCGAGCAGGGGGAAAAGGAGCAAUCCGCUUUGAGAUGGCCUCGCGUCCGAUUAGCUAGUUGGUGGGGUAACGGCCCACCAAGGCGACGAUCGGUAGCCGGACUGAGAGGUUGAACGGCCACAUUGGGAAUGAGACACGGCCCAGACACCUACGGGAGGAAGCAGUGGGGAAUAUUGCACAAUGGGGGAAACCCUGAUGCAGCGACGCAGGGUGGAGGAAGAAGGUCUUCGGAUUGUAAACUCCUGUUGUUGGGGAAGAUAAUGACGGUACCCAACAAGGAAGUGACGGCUAACUACGUG
rnacentral:rRNA from 1 species